rnacentral:rRNA from 1 species
GGUUAAGCGACUAAGCGUACACGGUGGAUGCCCUGGCAGUCAGAGGCGAUGAAGGACGUGCUAAUCUGCGAUAAGCGUCGGUAAGGUGAUAUGAACCGUUAUAACCGGCGAUUUCCGAAUGGGGAAACCCAGUGUGAUUCGUCACACUAUCAUUAACUGAAUCCAUAGGUUAAUGAGGCGAACCGGGGAACUGAAACAUCUAAGUACCCCGAGGAAAAGAAAUCAACCGAGAUUCCCCCAGUAGCGGCGAGCGAACGGGGAGGAGCCCAGAGCCUGAAUCAGUGUGUGUGUUAGUGGAAGCGUCUGGAAAGGCGCGCGAUACAGGGUGACAGCCCCGUACACAAAAAUGCACAUACUGUGAGCUCGAUGAGUAGGGCGGGACACGUGGUAUCCUGUCUGAAUAUGGGGGGACCAUCCUCCAAGGCUAAAUACUCCUGACUGACCGAUAGUGAACCAGUACCGUGAGGGAAAGGCGAAAAGAACCCCGGCGAGGGGAGUGAAAAAGAACCUGAAACCGUGUACGUACAAGCAGUGGGAGCCUCUUUUAUGGGGUGACUGCGUACCUUUUGUAUAAUGGGUCAGCGACUUAUAUUCUGUAGCAAGGUUAACCGAAUAGGGGAGCCGAAGGGAAACCGAGUCUUAACCGGGCGUUAAGUUGCAGGGUAUAGACCCGAAACCCGGUGAUCUAGCCAUGGGCAGGUUGAAGGUUGGGUAACACUAACUGGAGGACCGAACCGACUAAUGUUGAAAAAAUUAGCGGAUGACUUGUGGCUGGGGGUGAAAGGCCAAUCAAACCGGGAGAUAGCUGGUUCUCCCCGAAAGCUAUUUAGGUAGCGCCUCGUGAAUUCAUCUCCGGGGGUAGAGCACUGUUUCGGCAAGGGGGUCAUCCCGACUUACCAACCCGAUGCAAACUGCGAAUACCGGAGAAUGUUAUCACGGGAGACACACGGCGGGUGCUAACGUCCGUCGUGAAGAGGGAAACAACCCAGACCGCCAGCUAAGGUCCCAAAGUCAUGGUUAAGUGGGAAACGAUGUGGGAAGGCCCAGACAGCCAGGAUGUUGGCUUAGAAGCAGCCAUCAUUUAAAGAAAGCGUAAUAGCUCACUGGUCGAGUCGGCCUGCGCGGAAGAUGUAACGGGGCUAAACCAUGCACCGAAGCUGCGGCAGCGACACUGUGUGUUGUUGGGUAGGGGAGCGUUCUGUAAGCCUGUGAAGGUGUACUGUGAGGUAUGCUGGAGGUAUCAGAAGUGCGAAUGCUGACAUAAGUAACGAUAAAGCGGGUGAAAAGCCCGCUCGCCGGAAGACCAAGGGUUCCUGUCCAACGUUAAUCGGGGCAGGGUGAGUCGACCCCUAAGGCGAGGCCGAAAGGCGUAGUCGAUGGGAAACAGGUUAAUAUUCCUGUACUUGGUGUUACUGCGAAGGGGGGACGGAGAAGGCUAUGUUGGCCGGGCGACGGUUGUCCCGGUUUAAGCGUGUAGGCUGGUUUUCCGAGCAAAUCCGGAAAAUCAAGGCUGAGGCGUGAUGACGAGGCACUACGGUGCUGAAGCAACAAAUGCCCUGCUUCCAGGAAAAGCCUCUAAGCAUCAGGUAACAUCAAAUCGUACCCCAAACCGACACAGGUGGUCAGGUAGAGAAUACCAAGGCGCUUGAGAGAACUCGGGUGAAGGAACUAGGCAAAAUGGUGCCGUAACUUCGGGAGAAGGCACGCUGAUAUGUAGGUGAAGUCCCUCGCGGAUGGAGCUGAAAUCAGUCGAAGAUACCAGCUGGCUGCAACUGUUUAUUAAAAACACAGCACUGUGCAAACACGAAAGUGGACGUAUACGGUGUGACGCCUGCCCGGUGCCGGAAGGUUAAUUGAUGGGGUCAGCGCAAGCGAAGCUCUUGAUCGAAGCCCCGGUAAACGGCGGCCGUAACUAUAACGGUCCUAAGGUAGCGAAAUUCCUUGUCGGGUAAGUUCCGACCUGCACGAAUGGCGUAAUGAUGGCCAGGCUGUCUCCACCCGAGACUCAGUGAAAUUGAACUCGCUGUGAAGAUGCAGUGUACCCGCGGCAAGACGGAAAGACCCCGUGAACCUUUACUAUAGCUUGACACUGAACAUUGAGCCUUGAUGUGUAGGAUAGGUGGGAGGCUUUGAAGUGUGGACGCCAGUCUGCAUGGAGCCGACCUUGAAAUACCACCCUUUAAUGUUUGAUGUUCUAACGUGGACCCGUGAUCCGGGUUGCGGACAGUGUCUGGUGGGUAGUUUGACUGGGGCGGUCUCCUCCUAAAGAGUAACGGAGGAGCACGAAGGUUGGCUAAUCCUGGUCGGACAUCAGGAGGUUAGUGCAAUGGCAUAAGCCAGCUUGACUGCGAGCGUGACGGCGCGAGCAGGUGCGAAAGCAGGUCAUAGUGAUCCGGUGGUUCUGAAUGGAAGGGCCAUCGCUCAACGGAUAAAAGGUACUCCGGGGAUAACAGGCUGAUACCGCCCAAGAGUUCAUAUCGACGGCGGUGUUUGGCACCUCGAUGUCGGCUCAUCACAUCCUGGGGCUGAAGUAGGUCCCAAGGGUAUGGCUGUUCGCCAUUUAAAGUGGUACGCGAGCUGGGUUUAGAACGUCGUGAGACAGUUCGGUCCCUAUCUGCCGUGGGCGCUGGAGAACUGAGGGGGGCUGCUCCUAGUACGAGAGGACCGGAGUGGACGCAUCACUGGUGUUCGGGUUGUCAUGCCAAUGGCACUGCCCGGUAGCUAAAUGCGGAAGAGAUAAGUGCUGAAAGCAUCUAAGCACGAAACUUGCCCCGAGAUGAGUUCUCCCUGACCCUUUAAGGGUCCUGAAGGAACGUUGAAGACGACGACGUUGAUAGGCCGGGUGUGUAAGCGCAGCGAUGCGUUGAGCUAACCGGUACUAAUGAACCGUGAGGCUUAACCUU